AUGGACGCUUGCCACGGACGAGCGGCAGGGCUGGGCGCCUCCCCGGUGCCAGCGGGCGCACGGGGCCAAAACUCACAAACAAAAACCGCAGCAGAUCGCUGGCAGCCCGUCCCGGGGAGGCGGCAGCCACUUGGCAGAGGAGCCAUGGAGGACCCGGUAGGGAGUAGGCGGCCGGCGCACAGGGGAUAUUUUCUUUGCAACAAGGCAAGGCUGCCGGUUGCUUCCAUCUCUCCGCCACCGCUGCCCCGACCAGGCUGGGGGAAGAGGAGGGUGAGGACUGGGCGAGGGUCCCACUCCCCAUGCUCCCCGCCCUCGGUCUCCUCCUUCCCCCCAACCCUGCACUGCGCUGCUCUCUGUCUUUCCUGUCCCUCCUGCCCCCCGCCUGGGCCACCCCAUCUUCUGCCUGCCACCCCUCCUGAUUCGCCCGCUCCAGAUGCAAGCCUCCAGCUCCCCUGUCCUCACCCCUCACCCACGUCUUGAAUUCCCAGCCCAGCCCUGAUGAGGGAUCGAUUACAAGGAGCCUUAACCCACAGCCCCUGAGGGACCCCGGGCGGAGAGGAGCCUGUCACAGUUGAGGAACAGGCCGGGUCCGAGCCUCCUUCCCCUCGCCGUCUCCACUGCUCUGGGGAGACACAGUUAUCUCCCCUCCCAGACGAGGAAGCCGGGGUUCCGAGAGGUUAUCAGUCUCUGCCACCUGGCUCCGUGCUGGCAACUCGUGACAGAGAGGAACUGCAGAGCGCCAGCUUCGGAGUGGCCGCCGCGUCCGGGGCAGGGUGCAGCCGGGCUCACCUCGCCUCUGCACCUCGUCCCUCCUGGGGAGGUGGAGGAUCAUGUCCCGUUAGGACAACCAACCAAGACAGCGCGCGACGGGCUCAUCGUAAGGGCCCAGGCCUCCGUGUCCUGGUCGAGUUCUAGCGUCAUCACUGCCCCUGUGGUGGGUUGAACAGAGUCCCCCGAAAAGAUACGUUCACAUCCUAACCUCCCGGAACAUGUAAAUGUGGCCUCUUUGGAAAAAGGGUCUUUGCAGAUGCAAUUAAGUGGGGAAUCUCAGGACGAGAUCGUCCUGGAUUUGGGUGGCCCUAAAUCCACUGACUAAAGUCUUUAUAAGAGAAGAGAAAGAUUCAGACACAGCGGAGAGGCCAUGUGAAGACAGAGGCAGAGGUGGAGGGACACGGCCUCAAGCAUGGGGUGCCUGGAGCCCCCAGAGCUGGGCGAGUCAGGAAGGACCCUCCCCUGGAACCUCUGGAGGGAGCGCAGCCCUGCGACCCCUGGAUUCAGACCUCUGCCCAGAGGACUGGGAGAGAACACAUUUCUGCUGUGUUAAACCCCCAGUCCGUGGUCCUGUGUCACAGCACCCCCGAGACACUCACACCAUCCCCGCCUGGCUGGGAGCCCCUCAUGGGCAUGGAUGCAGUGUCCCCAUCCACCCCAAAUCCACAGCAAGGAGCCAGGCCCCCAGCAAAGGCGCCCCGUGGAAGUU
rnacentral:lncRNA from 1 species